GUAAAUUCUUAAACACUCCGAAAUUAUCAUUAUGAUAAAUUCGCAGCACAUUUUGAAUUUAUCAUAAUAAUAAAUUCGCGGCACUAACCCCUAACCACUAAUCCCCUAACACCUAACCCUAACUUUUUUAACCGUUUUAAAUUUUUUUAACUUUUUUAAAAAUCUAACUUUUUAAACUUUUUUGGCUUUUUAAAACUCUUUUAAAACUUUUUUAAAAUCCAAUUUUUUGAAAAUCUCUGUCUCUUAAUACUGCAGUAUUUCUGUUAUUGUAGCGGUUAACAAAUUAUAGGGAAAUACGACGACAUAAGUUAAAUUUCAAAACUUUUAUGUGUUCAUAUGCAGUGAAUCAAACGAAAAAUGCAUCCUUUGUUACAAUUAUUUAAAAUAUUACAAAAAUAAAAAACAACUAAAUUUAUCGCCAUAUUUCUCCAUAAUUCGGCAACUGCUACAAUAAUGCGAAAGUCAAAACAAAAUAGUAAAUGACAUCAGACUACAAAAGCGGAAGUGGGAAGGUUGUAGUAUUUUGACUGCAAUUAUGUACAAAAAUAUGUUGCAUCCAUGCUGCAAGAAUUAAUGCCCGACAUUUCCGGCAAAAUUUCCAUUUACAGGGACAGAUAAAGAUUACGAGACGAGUUGAAUAAAAAAGUUAAAGCACCGAACACUUUUUAUGUACAGCCAGAGAUACUGACAGCUUUGAAAUUUGCUACAACCACAGAAAGUACUGCCCGAUUAUACCUUAAAAAGAUAUUUAACAGUUGUGAAAUUAUUCAUGCGAAUAAGCCAAGAAUGGUUAAGGUUGUAUUUUUAAUGUUUCUAUGUUGUGAAUUAGAACCUGGAUAAUAAACCAGCUUAUUUAACUUUUUAAUUAUUACUAGUGUCGCUGAUCAGCGAACACGCGAAUGUAAACAAACAGCU
rnacentral:lncRNA from 1 species